AGGCAGGUGGAGGUGUCUGCCCUUGCUUUCUCGGGAGCAGCAAUACCUCCAGACACGCUGCACUGACAGGACUGCUCAGGGCGGCCGAGUCCCAGCAGGGGCUGAGAGCAGUGUAUUUCUCCCACAGUA
ensembl:snoRNA